AUGGCUGUCGUCAGCUCGUGUUGUGAAAUGUUGGGUUAAGUCCCGCAACGAGCGCAACCCUUAUCCUUUGUUGCCAGCGGUCCGGCCGGGAACUCAAAGGAGACUGCCAGUGAUAAACUGGAGGAAGGUGGGGAUGACGUCAAGUCAUCAUGGCCCUUACGACCAGGGCUACACACGUGCUACAAUGGCGCAUACAAAGAGAAGCGACCUCGCGAGAGCAAGCGGACCUCAUAAAGUGCGUCGUAGUCCGGAUUGGAGUCUGCAACUCGACUCCAUGAAGUCGGAAUCGCUAGUAAUCGUGGAUCAGAAUGCCACGGUGAAUACGUUCCCGGGCCUUGUACACACCGCCCGUCACACCAUGGGAGUGAGUUGCAAAAGAAGUAGGUAGCUUAACCUUCGGGAGGGCGCUUACCACUUUGUGAUUCAUGACUGGGGUGAAGUCGUAACAAGGUAACCGUAGGGGAACCUGCGGUUGGAUCACCUCCUUACCUUAAAGAAGC
rnacentral:rRNA from 1 species